CUUUUCAAUACUCUCUUACUAUCUCUCCAGUUUUCCCUCUUCUAUCUAUAUCCCUCUCAUUAACUUUUCUUUGAAUCUUGCAGAUCUAGGGUUAAAAGUGGAUACAAAGAGAAAAUGAGAGUGACAAAGACAAAUCGUGAAAUUGAAACCCGAGAUCGGACGAAAUGGAGUAGAAAGGAAGAAAAAUUGUUGAGGACACAGAGAGAUCUGUUGGGACAAAUACAGCAAAGCAAUGGUGGUGAUGAUGUAACAGAGAGAUGCAUCAUUUAGUGUCAUCUUCAAAAUCGUUAGGUUAUUUUUUAUAUACGGUUUCUCUUUCUCACUCUUUCCACAAAUAUUUUGUUUUCUCUCUACCCCUUUCUCUUUUCCCUUCAAUAAGCUUAUUCCAUCUUCGUUAGCGUUCGAGAUUAUUUGAGGUAAGUCGUUUUCGUUCUGUGUUUCCGUUCACUUUUCGUUCAAUAUUAUCGUUUUGAUGUAUGGUUUUCAUCCUCAAAGCAAACAGAUCUACGGACAAAGAGGGAAAAAGAGAGUUAUCGAUAAUGUCGAAACGAGAAACAUACGGUGUCUUCACGGGCACAUAUGGUUCCUUCACAGCUUCGACGAUGAAUGGGACCGAGUACUUAACUUUUCCAUGGUUGAUGGCGACUUUAUGAAGUUUGAGGGAAAAUGGUCAGUAAAAUCUGUAACAAGUUGUUGAAUGUCAAACAAAGCAUAUCAUGUCCUAGCUUUGAAGCAGACCUUAUAGAGCCGGCCUACAGCCACCUAAAAUGAUGAGCAUCACAUCACCAACCACUAAGUACAUUUGAAAUUGUGUAGGAGAUAAGACUUCUGUUAUAGGUUUGCAGACAUAUCUCAUUAAAAUUGUGUUUUUAAAUAGCAUGCUUCUCUAAAGUUCAUGUCUACUUCAUUAUGACAUUGUACCUACUGGAUAAAGUUUACACUCUAUCUACUGCUAACAAUACACCAUAGAAUAGGAACCUACUGUCUAUCAACAUUUUGUACCUGCUGAAUAAUAACCUGAUGUCCAAGCCUAUUAUCACUUUUGUCCAAGCCUUACUAACAUUAGUGAACUUGACGAUUGUUGGUUUAUGUCCUGCCCCAUAUAUGUUUUUUAGGAGGCAACUAUUUAGAUCUCACUAAUUUAACAUUAAAAAUUCUUCCUUUAGUCGUCUCCUUUGGCAUCUUGUAUCUACUGUCCAUACUAUAUUGCCUUGCAUAAUUUUCAUUUCAUGACCAGGUUUUGUUAAGUGACCGAGUUUUUUAGGUAAGUGACUGAGUACAAGGAAUGAGAACAUUUGGGUGUUGUCCUAAUCAACCAAUUCUUUGGUGUUGUUCACAAGGAAUGAGAACAUUUUACCUAAUUUGUUCUUCAUAGCAUGUUUGAUAUUUAUGUGUUGUUGCAGUCUGUGUUACAGUGCCUUCCACUCAUCAGUCAUUGCAAAUAACAUAAAGUGUGUCAUGGUACUGUUUUUAAUGAAAGAGUAAAUAUGUCAUGUUCUUUACUCUCUUUUUCUUCAUUUAUGUUGUGAAAAAUAAUUAUGAGUAUACUAUAAGUUAGAUUGUUUUGAUGAUAUACUUACAGCUCAGCCUAAGUUAGUUUCUCAAAUAGUUGGAAAAGCUCAAGGUGUUUAUGUGGCAUGUUCAGCAGAUGGGAGUAGACAGAUGAUGGUAUCCACAAAUUUGUUUGAAGGAGAAAAAUAUGAAGAUAGCUUGAACUUUUAUGGUUUGUAUAAGAUAGGAAGCAGAAUGUCGCGAUUAUCGGUAAUAGGAGGCACGGGAAAGUUCAAGAAUGCAAGGGAGUUUGCUGAGCUGAGACCUCUUAUUCCACCAGGAAAGAUUGCAACUGAUGGUGCUGAGACAUUGUUGAGGAUGAGUGUUCAUUUGAGCUACUAGAACUUGUCAAAUAUGUUUAACCUUCUUUGUGUUGUUCUAGCUGAAUUCCUAAAACACAUAACUAUUUGAUAACUUUUGCAUUUACCUAUUGAUUGGUAACUACUUUUGAAAGGUAUAUAUUUAAUUUCAUGGAAAUACAAAGCAUGCAUGGUUUUCUGUUUUAGUGAUAAUUUAUAUCAGUAUAUUAUUCUUGAAAUUUAUGUGACAGUUUUCUAUAGCAUCCCUUGCAAAUAAAAUAUCAUGUUAGUAUACAUAGGGACUACUUUGAGAUGAAUUGGAAAUUUUCUAUUAUGCAGCCAAUUAGUUGGUUUAAGUGUAUAGUGAUUGUAAUUUUGUGCAUUCUCAUCUGGUAUAUUGUUUGAGUCAUUAUUUAUGGAGUAUAGUGAAUUGUAAUUUUGUUUAAGUGUAUAGUGCAUUCUUAUAUGUGUAACUUGGUUUAAGUGUACACUGUAUAGUGAAUUGUGAGAUGCUGAGUUUGUGAUACUAAGAGGAUUUUUUAUUCUUACAGAUGCCAAGAGGUUGAUUGGUCAGAGUCUCUGAUGCACCUGUUCAGAGUGACAGAGGAUGCUUAGGUAAAUUCAAGCAUGAUCUUAUAGUUGAUUAUGAGUUGGAGCUAAAUUAUGGAAGGUUUGUCAUUAAUAUUUAUUUGUUCUAACUUCUAAAUAGGAUGCCAUGGAUUGUAACUGUAUAUCUCAAUCUAUUAUUUGUUCACUAUUAAUGGCUAUAUGUAUUCGACCGGUGUUGUCAUUCCCGUUUUUGAAACAAUAUGGUGCCAUUUCUUCAUAUCAAACAGAAUUGGGAUGUCCGCGUGGAAGAAUCAAGCAAAAAACCAGAUUAUUUAGCAAUUAAUUUUUUUUAUCAAGGUGGCCAAACAAAGAUAGUAGUUGUUGAUGUAGCUCAUGUGUGUUAAAUAAAUUCAUCAAAAAAUAAUAAGCAACCAUUGUUUUUGUGGCUUAUUCAUUUACUAAUAGGUUGGAUCUUCAUAGUGGAAUUAUUUAAGUUGAAAUCAUGGUGCAGUGGGGGACACAUGUGAAGAUACAAGGGACAUUACAAUUAAGGUUUGUGGUUACAUCAGGUAUGCUGGAAAAUGGAUUUGGGCCAAGAUGGUUCUACCAAUUGGAAAAAUGGGAUGAUAUAUGAUUCUGAUGUUCAGCGUACAAAAAUUGUACAAGAGGGUUGUUCAAUUUAACAUGUGAUGAUGAAACAUGUAAAACGUGUUGUCGCAUUUGUAACUAUUCAACUCCAUAGCACUAUGUACUCUUAUUUUAC